CCUGGCGUAGUUUAGUGGUUAAGACUUUGGACUUCUGGUCAGAAGGUUGCGAGUUCAAAUCCCAGCACCACUA